rnacentral:rRNA from 1 species
GACGAACGCUGGCGGCGUGCCUAAUACAUGCAAGUAGAACGCUGAAGGAGGAGCUUGCUUCUCUGGAUGAGUUGCGAACGGGUGAGUAACGCGUAGGUAACCUGCCUGGUAGCGGGGGAUAACUAUUGGAAACGAUAGCUAAUACCGCAUAAUAGCAGUUGUUGCAUGAUAACUGUUUGAAAGGUGCAAUUGCACCACUACCAGAUGGACCUGCGUUGUAUUAGCUAGUUGGUGGGGUAACGGCUCACCAAGGCGACGAUACAUAGCCGACCUGAGAGGGUGAUCGGCCACACUGGGACUGAGACACGGCCCAGACUCCUACGGGAGGCAGCAGGAGGGAAUCUUCGGCAAUGGACGGAAGUCUGACCGAGCAACGCCGCGUGAGUGAAGAAGGGUUUCGGAUCGUAAAGCUCUGUUGUAAGAGAAGAACGAGUGUGAGAGUGGAAAGUUCACACUGUGACGGUAUCUUACCAGAAAGGGACGGCUAACUACGUG